rnacentral:lncRNA from 1 species
UGCAGGCCCAUGGAUGUGGAGGCCAAGCUUCACGCGAGCUGUAUCAGCAGGGGCAAGGGCACCGAGCAAGCCAGUGGGCAUCCAGGAGACCUCCCCCUCAGGAGAACACACUGCUAAGAGGCCAGCACAUCUCAGCUCCAAACACAUGCAGCAGAACAACCUGACAGACAGUAGGAAUACACAUCCGAAGUCACCCAAAUUAAAGACAUCCCCAAGACCUCACAAAUACACCCAGCUCCAGACCAUAACCUGACUCUCUCUUGAGAGUCUGCAUGCUAUUCAAUCUGAGUAUGUACUUUUAAACUUCUGCCUAAUAAAUUUCUUUAUGC